ACAUGGAAAAAUUUAAAAUAAAUGGCUGAAACUCUCAAAUUUAUUUAUAUUGUGAUCCUUUUGGUUUCACUAUGUCUUGUUGUCAUUGACGGCUUCAGGACUUAUAAGGAAUGUAAAAGUGCUAGCGAUUGUUAUACAAUAUAUAGGCGUGCUUUUUAUGGAAGUAUGAGGUGUGUUAAAGGUUUUUGUAAACACCUCAAAGAUGUUAAGCUUAUAUAAUUUGUAUUUACUGUCUUGGAGUGAAGCAGAUGCCUUCUCUAAAGACUCUAUUUUAUGUCGUUAAUUAUUUUGGGAUGUGGUCAACUCUAAGAGGUGGCAUCAAGUUGGGAUAAAAUGAUCAUAUUAUACACGAGACAAUUUUUAUUUGGUACCUUGAGUCAUUUAAACCACCCUUUUAUAUUCUUAUUAUCCUUUGUGAAACCACUUUGAACCUUCAGACGAAAUUUUUAUUUUUGUUACUUAGUGAUGAAUCAUGUCACAGUCCUGAACUUUAAAUGCAUCCUAUAUGAUUUCACUUUGAGUUAUAUAGGUAUUAUUAUGAUUGAAUGUGGUUUGAAGCUAAGUU